UACGUAGGGUGCGAGCGUUGUCCGGAAUUAUUGGGCGUAAAGAGCUCGUAGGCGGUGUGUCACGUCGGCCGUGAAAAACCUGCAGCUUAACUGUGGGCGUGCGGUCGAUACGGGCAUCACUGGAGUUCGGCAGGGGAGACUGGAAUUCCUGGUGUAGCGGUGAAAUGCGUAGAUAUCGGGAGGAACACCAGUGGCGAAGGCGACUACCUGGCUGUUCUUGACGCUGAGGCGCGAAAGCUAGGGGAGCGAACAGG
rnacentral:rRNA from 1 species